rnacentral:rRNA from 1 species
GACGAACGCUGGCGGUGUGCUUAACACAUGCAAGUCGAACGGAAAGGCCCUGCUUUUGUGGGGUGCUCGAGUGGCGAACGGGUGAGUAACACGUGAGUAACCUGCCCUUGACUUUGGGAUAACUUCAGGAAACUGGGGCUAAUACCGGAUAGGAGCUCCUGCUGCAUGGUGGGGGUUGGAAAGUUUCGGCGGUUGGGGAUGGACUCGCGGCUUAUCAGCUUGUUGGUGGGGUAGUGGCUUACCAAGGCUUUGACGGGUAGCCGGCCUGAGAGGGUGACCGGCCACAAUUGGAAUGAGGUACGGCCCCAGCUCCUUACGGGGGGAGGAGGUGGGGAUUAUUCAACAUGGGCGGGAGCCUUGUGGCGCCACGCCGGGGGGCGGAUUGCGGCCUUCCGGUUGGUAACCGCUUUCGGCUGGGACGGAGCGUGGGUUACGGUAAAGGGUUAAGGAGGAACGGCCAAAUAAGGG